rnacentral:rRNA from 1 species
UUCCGGUUGAUCCUGCCGGACCUGACUGCUAUCGGAUUGAUACUAAGCCAUGCGAGUCAUUGUAGCAAUACAAGGCAGACGGCUCAGUAACGCGUAGUCAACCUAACCUAUGGACGGGAAUAACCUCGGGAAACUGAGUAUAAUGCCCGAUAGAACAUUAUGCCUGGAAUGGUUUAUGUUCCAAAUGAUUUAUCGCCGUAGGAUGGGACUGCGGCCUAUCAGUUUGUUGGUGAGGUAAUGGCCCACCAAGACUAUUACAGGUACGGGCUCUGAGAGGAGUGGCCCGGAGAUGGGUACUGAGACACGGACCCAGGCCCUAUGGGGCGCAGCAGGCGAGAAAACUUUGCAAUGUGCGAAAGCACGACAAGGUUAAUCCGAGUGGUUUCUGCUAAAGGAACCUUUUGUCGGUCCUAGAAACACCGAUGAAUAAGGGGUGGGCAAGUUCUGGUGUCAGCCGCCGCGGUAAAACCAGCACCUCAAGUGGUCAGGAUGAUUAUUGGGCCUAAAGCAUCCGUAGCCGGCUCUGUAAGUUUUCGGCUAAAUCUGUACGCUUAACGUACAGGCUGCCGGGAAUACUGUAGAGCUAGGGAGUGGGAGAGGUAGACGGUACUCGGUAGGAAGGGGUAAAAUCCUUUGAUCUAUUGAUGACCACCUGUGGCGAAGGCGGUCUACCAGAACACGCCCGACGGUGAGGGAUGAAAGCUGGGGGAGCAAACCGGAUUAGAUACCCGGGUAGUCCCAGCUGUAAACUAUGCAAACUCAGUGAUGCAUUGGCUUGUGGCUAAUGCAGUGCUGCAGGGAAGCCGUUAAGUUUGCCGCCUGGGAAGUACGUACGCAAGUAUGAAACUUAAAGGAAUUGGCGGGGGAGCACCACAAGGGGUGAAGCCUGCGGUUCAAUUGGAGUCAACGCCGGG